AGAAAUUGCUCCGAGUGUAUAAGUUGUAGAAAGAUGAAUUUCCCUUUCUUGCUUCUCAUCUUUGCUGCCAUCUUCAACUAUAGCGUCUGUUACCCAAUCGAGCCACUAGGGAUAUUAGUUCCGUUGGGGAAUUUCAAAAGAGGAUUGGGAAUUGGUUCGGCCAACCAACACUUAAAAAGUGACACACGUGACCAUUUGGUUGAAAUGGCUGCAUUAAAAAGGAAACGCUUAAUAUAAUGUGAGAAAUGGAUUUAAGUCGUUGAAUAAACAAGUCAAAGGUGU